CCCUUAGAUGUUCUGGGCCGCACGCGUGCUACACUGAGUGGAUCAGCGGGUCAGGUUGCGCGAAAGCGUUUCCUAAUCUUUAAAUCCGCUCGUGAUGGGGAUUGACGGUUGCAAUUUUCUGUCAUGAACGAGGAAUACCUUGUAAGCGCGGGUCAUCAUCCCGCGCUGAAUACGUCCCUGCCCUGUGUACACACCGCCCGUCGCUCCUACCGAUUGAGUGGUCCGGUGAGGCUUUGGGAUCUGAGCGGAAAGAGCGUUUCGCUGUUUCUGCUCGGAAAACUCAGUCGAACCUUAUCAUUUAGAGGAAGGAGAAGUCGUAACA
rnacentral:rRNA from 1 species